CAUAGGCCAAUUGAGGGCAUAUAAAGUGCACAUGGCAGUCUAUGGCCCCUGCAGUCACAAUCAUUCCUUCUCCAGCGAUGACCUCGGUGCUAACCUGAUUUAAAAGAAAAAGGAAGUACAAGCAGUGCCCAUUAGCACGAUUUGAAAUCAUAUCUCCACUACUUCCAUUGCAUAGUCAGAUGGAAACUACCCCAAUGAUCAUGUGUGCACCAUGCAUAAUAUCUGGGUUGCCUGCUUUUCCAAGAGAAACAAUAAGACCAUCUUUGAUACCAAUAUCUGCCUUGAAAAUUCCAGUGUAGUCAAUGACCACAGCAUUUGUGAUGACAGUAUCCACACAUUCAGCUGCUGCAUACAUACAAGCCUGCCCCAUUCCAUCCCUUAUA
rnacentral:sRNA from 1 species